GAUGAACGCUGGCGGCGUGCUUAACACAUGCAAGUCGAACGAGAAAUGUAGACGGAAACCUUCGGGCGGAAGCCUUCAUUUCGAGUGGCGGACGGGUGAGUAGCGCGUGGGUAACCUGCCUCAUACAGGGGGAUAACAGUUGGAAACGACUGUUAAUACCGCAUAAGACCACAGCAUCGCAUGAUGCGGGGGUAAAAACUCCGGUGGUAUGAGAUGGACCCGCGUUCGAUUAGCCAGUUGGCGGGGUAACGGCCCACCAAAGCGACGAUCGAUAGCCGAUCUGAGAGGAUGACCGGCCACAUUGGGACUGAGACACGGCCCAAACUCCUACGGGAGGCAGCAGUGGGGAAUAUUGCACAAUGGGGGAAACCCUGAUGCAGCGACGCCGCGUGAGUGAAGAAGUACUUCGGUAUGUAAAGCUCUAUCAGCAGGGAAGAAAAUGACGGUACCUGAGUAAGAAGCCCCGGCUAACUACGUG
rnacentral:rRNA from 1 species